CAAUGAAUCCCUUUUUUAGUUCAGGUGUUUAUCUAUUCCAUCAUGCAAGACCGUGGAUGACAUCAUUGUUUUUGCAUCCUGAGAGAACCAUGAUGAGCUGAUAUGUGAUGUACUUCUAUUUGCUCGGUAAAAAACUGUUUGUGGGAAUUUCAGUCCGGAACUAUUGAGCUACUACAGUCAAAAGGCAUCAGAGAACUGCAUGCAUCAGCUGAGUCCAAGACCAUCUUUGUGGUCAAGUGGAAUUGUCCCCAGUCAUCACACACAUCCCCAACAGGACGAAUGGGCUCAUCCUCAGCAGCGAGCCAAAGGCUUUCAUGCGACCAGAACUCCAACCAGAAGCAGGGUAUCAGCUAAUAUUACAGUCAUGAGUAAAGGUUUUGGGGAUAUAAGCCAUAACUUAAUACUGAUUUG